GAAUCUUUAAAAUAGGAAAAAGUUGAAAGUACUAAGAGAUUGGAUUUCCAACAGAUUAUUGAUUCAAAACUAUUUGAUUAAGUUAUUACCUUUCGUUUAUAUUUUUAAUUAAGUGGCAGCGUUUCUUCAUCUUCGGAUUUGUUCCGCUAUUUUAAUAGUUAGCACUUUUAUGAUACGACCUGUACAAAUACAAAUACCUUUGAAGAUGUUUCUCUACGGAUAUUUUGUUAUUGCAUUCAUGAUAUUUCAUCACACGCACCAAACCGAAUUCAAAGUUAUUGGAACAGUUGCUGAAGACACGAAUAGUGAGCCUAAAGUUGAACUAUACUUCGGUAAACUACUUGGCCUUUCAGGGAAGAAUGGGCAGAUCCAAAAAAAUAAUCCUCACCUUGCAAUCGGACCUGCAAUAGGAGCGGGUUUCAAUAAGGCUUACGGAAAACGCUUACCUUCCAGCGGAAUUAAAGAAAGUCGUUGCAUCUUCUGGAAUGUUGGGAGUCAUUGUAAAAUUGGAAAACGGGGAUAAUAUUCUCAUUCACGUUACAUUUCAAGUUUACAAUCUCAUUCAAGUUUACACUCAAAUUGGCAUCAUCAAAAUAAAAGAUUUUUUUUAAAACAACCCUGAUAAAAUGUAAAUAUGAAGUAAUAAUAUCAUUUUUAGCAGAUUAGGUAGUGACUACCUGAUGGCAAUGAUGACCACCAAUCAAAAGAUAAUUUUGUCCCCCUAUCCCCUUAACAUAAUUUUUACUCCCAAUAAGCGAAAAGUCUUAUAGAAUAUGAACAUUAUGGUUCUGGACAAUGUAUUACAGAUUCAAAACGAAACUUUAGAAGAUUUUCACAUGACAAUUAAAAAAAUAAUAAUUGUUACUUUAUAUAAAUUACAGAAAUCUUGAGAAAUGUACUUUUGCAACCGUCCCUAUUAAUAUUAUAGUUAUGAUUGAUAAAUA